rnacentral:ncRNA from 2 species
CAUCCAUCGAGACCGGCAGAGGGACAGGCCCUUUGAAGCCGGGGCAACCAGCGCAGCGCACAGCCGCGCCAGGUGCCAAUUCCUGCGAUGGCCCGCGCAUGCGUGGGCCAUCGGAAGAUGGCCG